rnacentral:rRNA from 1 species
CGGGGGGGGGUGCUACACAUGCAGUCGAACGAUGAUGCCCAGCUUGCUGGGCGGAUUAGUGGCGAACGGGUGAGUAAUACGUGAGUAACCUGCCCUUGACUCUGGGAUAAGCCUGGGAAACUGGGUCUAAUACUGGAUACUACCUCUUGCCGCAUGGUGGGUGGUGGAAAGGGUUUUACUGGUUUUGGAUGGGCUCACGGCCUAUCAGCUUGUUGGUGGGGUAAUGGCUCACCAAGGCGACGACGGGUAGCCGGCCUGAGAGGGUGACCGGCCACACUGGGACUGAGACACGGCCCAGACUCCUACGGGAGGCAGCAGUGGGGAAUAUUGCACAAUGGGCGGAAGCCUGAUGCAGCGACGCCGCGUGAGGGAUGACGGCCUUCGGGUUGUAAACCUCUUUCAGUAGGGAAGAAGCGAGAGUGACGGUACCUGCAGAAGAAGCGCCGGCUAACUACGUGCCAGCAGCCGCGGUAAUACGUAGGGCGCAAGCGUUGUCCGGAAUUAUUGGGCGUAAAGAGCUCGUAGGCGGUUUGUCGCGUCUGCUGUGAAAGCCCGGGGCUCAACCCCGGGUCUGCAGUGGGUACGGGCAGACUAGAGUGCAGUAGGGGAGACUGGAAUUCCUGGUGUAGCGGUGAAAUGCGCAGAUAUCAGGAGGAACACCGAUGGCGAAGGCAGGUCUCUGGGCUGUUACUGACGCUGAGGAGCGAAAGCAUGGGGAGCGAACAGGAUUAGAUACCCUGGUAGUCCAUGCCGUAAACGUUGGGCACUAGGUGUGGGGGACAUUCCACGUUUUCCGCGCCGUAGCUAACGCAUUAAGUGCCCCGCCUGGGGAGUACGGCCGCAAGGCUAAAACUCAAAGGAAUUGACGGGGGCCCGCACAAGCGGCGGAGCAUGCGGAUUAAUUCGAUGCAACGCGAAGAACCUUACCAAGGCUUGACAUUCACCGGACCGCCCCAGAGAUGGGGUUUCCCUUCGGGGCUGGUGGACAGGUGGUGCAUGGUUGUCGUCAGCUCGUGUCGUGAGAUGUUGGGUUAAGUCCCGCAACGAGCGCAACCCUCGUUCUAUGUUGCCAGCACGUGAUGGUGGGGACUCAUAGGAGACUGCCGGGGUCAACUCGGAGGAAGGUGGGGAUGACGUCAAAUCAUCAUGCCCCUUAUGUCUUGGGCUUCACGCAUGCUACAAUGGCCGGUACAAAGGGUUGCGAUACUGUGAGGUGGAGCUAAUCCCAAAAAGCCGGUCUCAGUUCGGAUUGAGGUCUGCAACUCGACCUCAUGAAGUCGGAGUCGCUAGUAAUCGCAGAUCAGCAACGCUGCGGUGAAUACGUUCCCGGGCCUUGUACACACCGCCCGUCAAGUCACGAAAGUUGGUAACACCCGAAGCCGGUGGCCUAACCCCUUGUGGGAGGGAGCCGUCGAAGGGGAGAAG